GCGGUGGUAGCUCAGCUGGUUAGAGCGCUUCCCUGUCACGGAAGAGGUCGCGAGUUCGAAUCUCGUCCACCGCG
rnacentral:tRNA from 1 species